CCUACGGGUGGCUGCAGUGGGGAAUAUUGGGCAAUGGAGGCAACUCUGACCCAGCAACGCCGCGUGAAUGAUGAAGGUCUUCGGAUUGUAAAGUUCUGUGAUGGGGGAUGAACACAAUGACGGUACCCCAAUAGCAAGCCACGGCUAACUACGUGCCAGCAGCGGCGGGAAUACGUAGGGGGCAAGCGUUAUCCGGAAUGACUGGGCGUAAAGGGUUCGUAGGUGGUUUAGUAAGUUGGCGGUGUAAUUCAGGGGCUCAACCUCGGCGCUACCGCCGAUACUAUGAGGCUAGAGUGCAGGAGGGGUAAGUGGAAGUCCUAGUGUAGCGGUGGAAUGCGGAGAGAUUAGGAGGAACAUCAGGGGCGAAGGCGGCUUACUGGACUGUAACUGACACUGAGGCACGAAAGCGUGGGGAGCAAACAGGAUUAGAUACCCGGGUAGUC
rnacentral:rRNA from 1 species